rnacentral:rRNA from 1 species
UGACGUCAAAUCAUCAUGCCCCUUAUGACCUGGGCUACACACGUGCUACAAUGGUUGGUACAACGAGUUGCGAGUCGGUGACGGCGAGCUAAUCUCUUAAAGCCAAUCUCAGUUCGGAUUGUAGGCUGCAACUCGCCUACAUGAAGUCGGAAUCGCUAGUAAUCGCGGAUCAGCACGCCGCGGUGAAUACGUUCCCGGGCCUU